AGCGAACGCUGGCGGCAGGCUUAACACAUGCAAGUCGAGCGGGCACUUCGGUGUCAGCGGCGGACGGGUGAGUAACACGUGGGAACGUGCCCUUUGGUUCGGAACAACUCCGGGAAACUGGAGCUAAUACCGGAUAAGCCCUUCGGGGAAGGAUUAUUGCCAAAGGAUCGGCCCGCGUCUGAUUAGCUAGUUGGUAGGGUAAUGGCCUACCAAGGCGACGAUCAGUAGCUGGUCUGAGAGGAUGAUCAGCCACACUGGGACUGAGACACGGCCCAGACUCCUACGGGAGGCAGCAGUGGGGAAUAUUGGACAAUGGGCGCAAGCCUGAUCCAGCCAUGCCGCGUGAGUGAUGAAGGCCUUAGGGUUGUAAAGCUCUUUCGGCGGGGGACGAUAAU
rnacentral:rRNA from 1 species